rnacentral:lncRNA from 1 species
UUCUCCAUUAUUACAUCACCUGGUUUUCCUACGGAAACUUCGAACAUUAUUUGAGUCUUUUUCAUUAUUGUAUCCAUGGCCAUCCAAUUCAAUAUGGAUGGCUUAGAUUUGAUCACUAGUAAUCGGUUAUGUACAUAGUUGGUGCAGCAAAUAUAUCAACUUUCAAAUUCAUUUUCAUAUUGAAUAGGAUGGCAAAUCCAUUAAUUACCUCUAACAUUUUGUUCUUUUCUCGAAGGUCAUUCUUCCUUGGUGGAUCUCUUGAGGUGUAAGCAAUGGACAAUAGGUGGCG